rnacentral:lncRNA from 7 species
CCCCUGCCCAAACCUGGGUAAUCCAGGAGUGUGAUGUCUCCCCAAAUGACCACCAAAGAUGACCAAAGACCCCCAUGCAAGUGCUGAAGAUUCCCGUAUGUUCUGUAACCUCAUACUUCCAUAGCCCUACAAACAGGCAACAGGUUCACCGGUGUGAGUGUGAGGAGCCUUGCCCAGCGUUGGUCAGCCUGGCACGUGGCAGUGUUCAGAACUGCCACCCCCACUUAAUGUCGGUGGAGUGGAAAUCCAUUUUAGCAGACCUGGAGAAGGAGCUAGCAGUAGUGCUGUGACAAUUUCAAUUAAAGGUCUGAGAAUGAUUCCAGAACUGCUGGAACAGCAAUUAUGUGGGGGAGAAAAAUAGCUACAUUUGGCAGAAAUUGCAGUGCAGCAGCCAGCCCAGGGAGCCUUCAAAGCAUCUCUACUUGUGGUUCUUCGAACAGAGGGGAUGCACAGCCAUCCCCCUCUGCUCAGGAAGUGAGUUUCCUGAGAACUGUGCAAUCACAGCCAGAACUUCUAUGAGAUUACUGAGAAUAUUGACAAACUUACUGUAAUACACCUCAUCUGGAGACCUGGACUGAGAAACUGAGAAGCUUCGUACAAAGCAGUGUGGGAUGAUUUCAUGUGGCUGUAAUGGAGGUGAACAGCUCAGGGCUGGUUUGGUUCCAACAGAUGAAAUUACUUAUGCGCAGCACUUGUAUGACCUGGGAGCUGACAAUCCCUGCUCCUGUUCUCAGCAGCAGUUUCUCUGCCAAAUGCCAUCGUAUCGCAUCUAAGCUGUUUAGUGUGUGUGAUGCUGUACUCUGGGGGCACUGAGAGGUUCUCUGCCCAAUCCAAGCCUAAACAUGGAGUGGUGGCACUGCCUCUGUGCGGGUAAAGACACACACUGGAAGCUGUCAGCUGCUCUGUUCUGCUUUACUCUGUGUCUCCUGCUGCAUAGGGUGCAUCUGUGUAUGGCAAAGUGGGCAUGCCUUGUUAAGAAAUCUAUAUGGAAUUUGUGUAGCUGCUAUUGCUGAACAUAACUAGCACUUCUGUAGCAUCCUUGCCUGAUGCUACAAAUCUAAGGCCACAAGUUUCAAUUAAGCCACUGAUAAAUAACUGCCAUAGACCUGUGAGACGAGAAGUGCACAGGCUAGCUGCUGCUGCUUUCUGAGGUGGAGACUCAGAAUCAAACCCAAGUCCCAGCGCUGCUUGCUGGGUGACCCAGAUGUAAACUCAGUGCAUUGCCAGCACUACAGGAAUCAGGUGCUUGCAGGGUACGGGAUAGUUUUGUUGUGCCAUUGUACUGAUGCCAAGUUUCCACUGGCUUUAAAUGUCUGAUGGCUGACAUUCAUUCUUACAAACACUUCUCUGAUAGAGAAACAAGGUCACUUAGUCCUACUAAAAGUAAAUAAAUAAAAAGUAAAACCU